GUGUUCGGCUCUGAGAGCGUCUGUGGGAUUUCGGGCGGAAAUGGGGGGGUAUCAUGUCGGCUAGCUGGUGCGGAGUCUUCUUUAAGAGACCAAGUACCUUGUCCUAGGAGCUCAAGUGGUGUAGCAGUUAAAAUUUUUAAUACUUAAAUCUCUCCACUACACAAAAUAUUGGUGAAUCUUGACAGCAGUCAGCUAGCUUUGAAGGUCUACUGAAAAAAAACUGCUUACUGUUGAUGAAAUGCAAAACUGGAUGAGUUUUAGCAGCCAGAUUCCUGAUUCAAGUUGUGCCUAGAGGCUGCAGCUUUCUUUGUGCAGACUGGGGAUCACAGGAGUAUAGCUUUCUGUUGAGUGCUGCAUUAAUGCUACUCAAGUUCUACAGAAGUGACUCAACAUCCCACAGGCCUGCCAGGAUGACAAGUCACUUGCAGGAUUCAGUGCUGGCUUUGUUACAGAACAGCCGCUGACGACCUUCUCAAUCCCAUCCUGGACUUCAGACUCAUGAAAGUUCUUGUCAGACAACACAAGGCAUCACAAAUAAAGCAGAGUUUUCAAUUAAAGCCAGUGGACUGAUUCAAGAAAUUACUGUUGAUGGGAAUGUUUAAUUUCAGCAAGAGAAUACCAUCUUGCCUUUGGGACUGAGAAGCAAAGUACAUCAUUGUUGUUUCCAGUUGGCCAAGAUUUACUUUAUUUCAGAUAGUGUGUUAGCAUUAAGCCCAGAUAUAUUUCCUACAAUUACAGGCUUUUUGGAACUGGAAACCACCCCAGAAGUACUGAAGCUUUAUGAGAACCACAGUCUCCAGGAACCAGAAACUGCAGCUCCCUGGCAGACAUCCCUGUUUUGACAGAUAUCUGCAUAAUACCGUGAUAUAGAAUACUCACAGAAAGUCAUAGUAAAAGAACUUGGUGAUAGCAAGCUGGACAUGAGGCAGCAAGGUGCCUUUGCAACCCAAAAGCCAACCAUAUCCUGGGCUGCAUUGAAAGAAGCAUCCAGCAUCCUGUCCAACAGGUCAAAGGUGGUGAACCUGCCCCUCUACUCUGCACUGGAGAGAAUUCACUGUGUAGUACUGCGUCCAGAU
ensembl:lncRNA